GGCGUGGGGGGUCAUUCCAUGUUAGUCGACGAUGAACCUCACUUGUGGGGGGAUUAGUGGCGAACGGGUGAGUAACACGUGAGUAACCUGCCCUUAACUCUGGGAUAAGCCUGGGAAACUGGGUCUAAUACCGGAUAUGACUCCUCAUCGCAUGGUGGGGGGUGGAAAGCUUUUUGUGGUUUUGGAUGGACUCGCGGCCUAUCAGCUUGUUGGUGAGGUAAUGGCUUACCAAGGCGACGACGGGUAGCCGGCCUGAGAGGGUGACCGGCCACACUGGGACUGAGACACGGCCCAGACUCCUACGGGAGGCAGCAGUGGGGAAUAUUGCACAAUGGGCGCAAGCCUGAUGCAGCGACGCCGCGUGAGGGAUGACGGCCUUCGGGUUGUAAACCUCUUUCAGUAGGGAAGAAGCGAAAGUGACGGUACCUGCAGAAGAAGCGCCGGCUAACUACGUGCCAGCAGCCGCGGUAAUACGUAGGGCGCAAGCGUUAUCCGGAAUUAUUGGGCGUAAAGAGCUCGUAGGCGGUUUGUCGCGUCUGCCGUGAAAGUCCGGGGCUCAACUCCGGAUCUGCGGUGGGUACGGGCAGACUAGAGUGAUGUAGGGGAGACUGGAAUUCCUGGUGUAGCGGUGAAAUGCGCAGAUAUCAGGAGGAACACCGAUGGCGAAGGCAGGUCUCUGGGCAUUAACUGACGCUGAGGAGCGAAAGCAUGGGGAGCGAACAGGAUUAGAUACCCUGGUAGUCCAUGCCGUAAACGUUGGGCACUAGGUGUGGGGGACAUUCCACGUUUUCCGCGCCGUA
rnacentral:rRNA from 1 species